AACCGAACCGCCUCUCUUUUUUUUGAACCGCCUCUAAAUUGAACCGACACUCUCUCCUCUCUAUGUUUUUUGUAUGAUACUCUGAACUAAACCAUGCCUUUGAACCAGACCGCUAUAUUUCCCUCGAACCGAAUCGAACCAUCGCUCUCUCCUCUCCACGUUUUCGUACGACGUUUCCUCUCCCCUCUCGGCCGACCGUCUCUCUCCUCUCUCCGCUGCGCGUUCCCUCUUCUCUCACCAUUGAACGUUCCCUCUGCUCUCACCACAUCUCUCUCUCCCCUCUCCACCGCAUACAAUGGAUCUGAUGAGAUGGAUCCAAAUCUCAUCAAAUCUGCCCUCUCCUCUCACCGUUUCGUAUGGAAUCCGAAGGCUUUUAGAUGAGAUCUGCAAUGGCAAAAGGGUCGACGAAUGGGUUUUUUAGGUGCUCGACCGUGUUAUUGUGGAAGGACGAAAGUAUGGGAUUGAAUUGAUUCUUAGCUUAGUCAAUAAUCUAAAACAUUACAGUGGGAAGACGCAAUAUAUUAAAUAGGCAUGAGACGAAGGCAUAGGAUUGAACUCCUCAAAUGAUUCUUUCUUCUUUGAUCCAUCGAUUUGGAGCUAUUCAAGAUAUAUUAGAGGGUAAUAUCAGCCCGCUGAUAAAUAUGUGCUAAAAAUAGUUUAUUGCUAAGUCGCAAUCGAAUUUAUUUGGGAUUUUCUGAGAUAUGAACUUUAAAUAUGAUGAUAUUUGAUCCAAUAUCAGAUACUUUUUAGACGAUGCUAACAAAGAAAAACCACUUGGCUAGAACUGAAUAGAGAUAAUCCCACCAUCAGAAUCAAUGAAUGAGUCUCGUACAUCCGAUGCAUUUGGUAACACCUUUCAAAAUUGUAGGAUUGGAUUGAAGAAAUGGUAGAAUAUGUGAAGUUGUCGGGGUGAGGAGGAUGUUCUGGAGCAUCCAAAUAUGCAUGCCAUACACAUGCUGCAGAGGGUAAAACAUGCCCUGCAUCCUCUCCCCCAUUCCUAUGACAUCAACUGUAAUUUACCACACAAACUGUUUGGAUUUUGUUCUUUUACUCCCAAAUCCUGCUAUUGCCUUUGUUGUAAUCUCUAGAUUAAAAAAAACAAAGAGAUAAAAUUGGGUUUUUCUUUUUUUGCACAUUUACCUUGAGAAAUAUAUCAAAUACUAAUUUUUCA